UACGUAGGGGGCAAGCGUUGUCCGGAAUCAUUGGGCGUAAAGAGCGCGUAGGCGGUCCGGUAAGUCCGCUCUGAAAGCCCGGGGCUCAACCCCGGGAGGCGGGCGGAUACUGUCGGGCUAGAGUCCGGAAGAGGCGAGUGGAAUUCCUGGUGUAGCGGUGAAAUGCGCAGAUAUCAGGAGGAACACCUAUGGCGAAGGCAGCUCGCUGGGACGGUACUGACGCUGAGGCGCGAAAGCGUGGGGAGCAAACAGG
rnacentral:rRNA from 1 species